GCAGAUUGUAUUUUCCAAAGAUGGCCAAAUCAGUGUAUCCCAUCCCACUCAUUCAUGUUCCAGUGUGAUGUGGACACUCCUCCCCUGAGAUCUUCAGUCAAUAUUCCCUCCCUUUGAACCUGGGCAGACCUAUGUAACUGCCUUGCUAAUAGAGUACAGCAUAAAUAAUGGGACUUCUGAGGCAAGGUCAUGAAAGCACUCCACCUGGGGUCUCUCUCUCUCUCUCUCAGCAUGCUCCUUGGUAGUUCUGAGCCGGCAUGUAAGAAGUCGGCCACAGAGAGGUAGAGAAGCCCAGGGAGUCCCAGCUGUUUGAGUCUUCCCACCCCAGGCAUCAGACAUAUAAGCAAAGACCCAUUGCUCCUGGGACUAGAAGCAGAAACCCCCUACCCAGGGGCAGAAGCAGGAAACUGUCCUGGGCUGAAGAUUCAAGCGAAGGUCCACUCUGUUGUGGGGAGGGCAAGAACUUUGGCUAAUCCCAGAUGAACCACAUAUAAGGCAGAGUUUGGCUUCCAUAGGGAAGAGGGA
rnacentral:lncRNA from 1 species